UACGUAGGUGGCAAGCGUUGUCCGGAUUUACUGGGCGUAAAGAGCGCGCAGGCGGUCCUUUAAGUCUGAUGUGAAAGCCCACGGCUCAACCGUGGAGGGUCAUUGGAAACUGGGGGACUUAGUACAGAAGAGAAGAGUGGAAUUCCACGUGUAGCGGUGAAAUGCGUAGAGAUGUGGAGGAACACCAGUGGCGAAGGCGACUCUUUGGUCUGUAACUGACGCUGAGGCGCGAAAGCGUGGGAGCAAACAGG
rnacentral:rRNA from 1 species